AGCAGCCGCGGUAAUUCCAGCUCCAAUAGCGUAUAUUAAAGUUGUUGCAGUUAAAAAGCUCGUAGUUGAAUUUUUGAUUCUUCCAAUUGGUCCAUCUUUUAGAUGAGUACUGGUUGUGUGGGGUCUAUCCGCCUGGUGAUACGUAAUGUCCUUUAUUGGAUGUUGCGGGUAGUCAGGACCUUUACCUUGAAAAAUUAGAGUGUUUAAAGCAGGCUUAUGCCGGAAUACAUUAGCAUGGACUAAUAGAAUAGGACGAAGUUGUUUUAUUUUGUUGGUUUCUAGGACAACCGUAAUGAUUAAUAGGGAUAGUUGGGGGCAUUAGUAUUCAAUUGUCAGAGGUGAAAUUCUUGGAUUUAUUGAAGACUAACUACUGUGAAAGCAUUUGCCAAGGAUGUUUUCAUUAAUCAAGAACGAAAGUUAGGGGAUCGAAGACGAUCA
rnacentral:rRNA from 1 species